CGAUAGCUCAGUGGAUAGAGCGUCUGCCUCCGGAGCAGAAGGUCGCAGGUUCGAAUCCUGUUCG
rnacentral:tRNA from 1 species